rnacentral:rRNA from 1 species
AUUGAACGCUGGCGGCGGGCCUAACACAUGCAAGUCGAGCGGACGAAGAGGGCUUGCUCCUGUUUUCAGCUGCGGACGGGUGGGUAAUGCCUAGGAGUCUGCCUGGCAGUUGGGGAUAGGGUCAGGAAACGGGCGCGAAUAUCGCAUACGUCCUGAGGGUGAACGGGGGGGUUCUUCGGAGAACAGGCGAUCAGAUGAGCCUUAGACGUAUUAGCGAGUUGGUGGGGUAACGGCCUACCAAGGCAACGAUCCGUAACUGAUCUGAGAGGAUGAUCAGUCACACUGGAACUGAGACACGGUCCAGACUCCUACGGGAGGCAGCAGUGGGGAAUCUUGGACAAUGGGCGAAAGCCUGACCGAGCAAUGCCGCGUGAGUGAUGAAGGUCUUCGGAUCGUAAAGCACUUUUAGUUGGGAAGAAGAACAGUGAGUUAAACCCUUGCUGUUUUGACGUUACCUAAUGAAUAAGCAACGGCUAACUACGUG